CGGAGGGAUCAUUAAAGAGUUCUAUAACUCCCAAACCCAUGUGAACAUACCUAACGUUGCCUCGGCAGGUCGCACCUACCUUGUAGCACCCUACCCUGUAGGGCCUACCCGGGAGGUGCGGGUAAGCCUGCCGGCGGCCCACCAAACUCUGUUUGAUAUUGAAUUCUGAACCUAUAACUAAAUAAGUUAAAACUUUCAACAACGGAUCUCUUGGUUCUGGCAUCGAUGAAGAACGCAGCGAAAUGCGAUAAGUAAUGUGAAUUGCAGAAUUCAGUGAAUCAUCGAAUCUUUGAACGCAUAUUGCGCCCAUUAGUAUUCUAGUGGGCAGGACCGUUCGAGCGUCAUUUCAACCCUUAAGCCUUCGUUGCUUAGUGUUGGGAGCCUACGGCAACGUAGCUCCUCAAAGUUAGUGGCGGAGUUGGUUCACACUCUAGACGUAGUAAUUUUUUAUCUCGCCUAUUAGUUGGACUAAUCCCCUGCCGUAAAACCCCCAAUUUAUCAAGGUUGACCUCGAAUCGGUUCAGACAAACUCGCUAAAUUGAAGCAUCUUAGUCAGCGAAGGAAAAGAAACCAACAGGGAUUGCCCUAGUAACGGCGAGUGAAGCGGCAACAGCUCAAAUUUGAAAUCUGG
rnacentral:rRNA from 1 species